rnacentral:rRNA from 1 species
GAUGAACGCUGGCGGCGCGCCUAACACAUGCAAGUCGAACGAUUAAAGCACCUUCGGGUGUGUAUAAAGUGGCGAACGGCUGAGUAACACGUGGGCAACCUGCCCCUUUCAUUGGGAUAGCCACGGGAAACCGUGGAUAAUACCGAAUACUUCGAGACUUCCGCAUGGAAGACUCGAGAAAGCUCCGGCGGAGAGGGAUGGGCCCGCGGCCUGUUAGCUUGUUGGUGGGGUAACGGCCUACCAAGGCAAUGAUGGGUAGCUGGGUUGAGAGACCGACCAGCAGAAUGGGGACUGAGACACGGCCAAGACUCCUACGGGAGGAAGCGGGGGGGAAUCUGGCACAGGGGGCGAAGGCCGGACGCAGCGCCGCCGGGGGCGGGAGGAAGGCCUUCGGUUUGAACACCGCUUUCAGCGGGGACGGGGAGAAAGGGGCGGUCCCUGAAGAAGAAGCCCGGGCUAACUCCGUC